rnacentral:rRNA from 1 species
AUUGAACGCUGGCGGCAGGCCUAACACAUGCAAGUCGAGCGGAUGAAGGGAGCUUGCUCCUGGAUUCAGCGGCGGACGGGUGAGUAAUGCCUAGGAAUCUGCCUGGUAGUGGGGGAUAACGUCCGGAAACGGGCGCUAAUACCGCAUACGUCCUGAGGGAGAAAGUGGGGGAUCUUCGGACCUCACGCUAUCAGAUGAGCCUAGGUCGGAUUAGCUAGUUGGUGGGGUAAAGGCCUACCGAGGCGACGAUCCGUAACUGGUCUGAGAGGAUGAUCAGUCACACUGGAACUGAGACACGGUCCAGACUCCUACGGGAGGCAGCAGUGGGGAAUAUUGGACAAUGGGCGAAAGCCUGACCCAGCCAUGCCGCGUGUGUGAAGAAGGUCUUCGGAUUGUAAAGCACUUUAAGUUGGGAGGAAGGGCAGUAAGUUAAUACCUUGCUGUUUUGACGUUACCAACAGAAUAAGCACCGGCUAACUUCGUG